CCUCCUUUAAAGAAACCGGAAUAAGGUGUGAAAGCGCCCGCACAAUUUGCCUAAUCAUCGUAUAGAUAGACCGCGGGUCUGUAGCUCAGUUGGUUAGAGCGCACCCCUGAUAAGGGUGAGGUCGGAAGUUCAACUCUUCCCAGACCCACCACCUUCGCGCCUGUAAGGGCAACAAGGAAGAAAAGGGGCCAUAGCUCAGAUGGGAGAGCACCUGCUUUGCAAGCAGGGGGUCGGCGGUUCGAUCCCGCCUGGCUCCACCAGAAAAAAAAACA
rnacentral:tRNA from 1 species